AUUGAACGCUGGCGGCAUGCUUUACACAUGCCAGUCGAACGGUAACAGGCCGCGAGUUGCUGACGAGUGGCGAACGGGUGCGUAAUGCACCGGAACGUGCCCAGCCGCUGGGGAUAAAGCAGCGAAAGCUGUGCUACCACCGCAUACGAUAUAUGGGUGAAAGCGGGCGACCGUCAGGCCUCUCGCGAUUGGAGCGGCCGAUGACGGAUUAGGUAGUUGGUGGGGUAAAGGCUCACCAAGCCGACGAUCUGUAGCUGGUCUGAGAGGACGACCAGCCACACUGGGACUGAGACACGGCCCAGACUCCUACGGGAGGCAGCAGUGGGGAAUUUUGGACAAUGGGCGCAAGCCUGAUCCAGCAAUGCCGCGUGCAGGAAGAAGGCCUUCGGGUUGUAAACUGCUUUUGUACGGAACGAAAAGGCUCUGGUUAAUACCUGGGCUCAUGACGGUACCGUAAGAAUAAGCACCGGCUAACUACGUGCCAGCCGCCGCGGUAA
rnacentral:rRNA from 1 species